GAGUUUGAUCCUGGCUCAGAUUGAACGCUGGCGGCAUGCCUAACACAUGCAAGUCGAACGCGAAAGCCCUUCGGGGUGAGUAGAGUGGCGGACGGGUGAGUAACGCGUGGGAAUCUGCCCAGUAGUGGGGGACAACCCGGGGAAACUCGGGCUAAGACCGCAUACGCCCUAAGGGGGAAAGGCUUCGGCCGCUAUUGGAUGAGCCCGCGUCGGAUUAGCUUGUUGGUAGGGUAAUGGCCUACCAAGGCGACGAUCCGUAGCUGGUCUGAGAGGACGAUCAGCCACACUGGGACUGAGACACGGCCCAGACUCCUACGGGAGGCAGCAGUGGGGAAUAUUGGACAAUGGGGGAAACCCUGAUCCAGCAAUGCCGCGUGUGUGAAGAAGGCCUGCGGGUUGUAAAGCACUUUCAGUAGGGAGGAUAGCGACGUUACCUACAGAAGAAGCACCGGCUAAUUCCGUGCCAGCAGCCGCGGUAAUACGGAAGGUGCGAGCGUUAAUCGGAAUUACUGGGCGUAAAGCGCGCGUAGGCGGCUUGGUCAGUCAGAUGUGAAAGCCCCGGGCUUAACCUGGGAACUGCAUUUGAUACUGCCUAGCUAGAGUGUGG
rnacentral:rRNA from 1 species